UUUAAAUCAAGAGAAAGGAAACGGUUGAUCUGUACCAUUCAAGAAGAUUCACAGACAAACUUCAUCAUUAUCAGAAUAAUUUUAUCUGUAAAUGUGAGUCAUGGCCACAUGUACUGUAUAGCAGCAGCUGUACCUUGUGGAAAUGCUGUGGGCUUUUAUGAUGGGGACUGCACAUUGCCAAUCAAGCUCAGAUCCCAGAGUCACGCUCAAGUUCUAGAAGUGAAGGAACUGAAUUCAGGGCUCUGAUUCACUCUGAUAGGGCUGGGAAUCUAUGCUGUUGAACUUCAAAGCAGCUAGAACUGUCAGUACAAUGUUUGAUGAUUUGAAUGCAUUUGUCCUAAAGACCUCCCAGACAGAUGCUACUCCUGCUAUAUUUCACAUGGGGGCAGAGAGUUAACACCAAAACCUGAGCUAAUUGAUAACAAAAGCAGGUAAGAGCUAGCUGGCUCUGUGGCAUUACAUACCUGCCUUUUCCUAGUGGCUCCAACAUUGGAAAUACAUUGAAACUGUGAUUCAGUAGAAGUUCAGGAGCUGAACUAAUCACCAUGCAAGCAUUACUCCCUGUGAAACAGCUACUGACAGCCUGUUUGAUGCUCCAAGACUUUGGUGAGUAAUUGGUACUUCCUUAUGCAUUGCAUUAACAGUGUUGCAAUUCAUGUUGCCUGAUGCCACAUGGCAGCAACAUGACCUGAAACAGUACAACAAAGUUGCUUAUACAGUGUUCUUAAGCUGAAGAGAAUCCCUUUCUCCAUUUUGUUUUUCCCUCUUAUCAACUGCUCAGUGAGCUUUGAUGCUUUAUUUUCGUAGUGCAGACUUGUCUUCUGCUUGUCUUCUGCUGGAGCUGGACCCUGCAGCUACUCUGACAGCAUCUGGACCCAAACUGCUCAAGCAGCAAGUCUCCCAGUUCAGCAAGCACCACAAGCCAGUGUCUGCCCAGCUAUAUCCAGCCCUGAAGGAUUGAAGCUCCCGGUGUCUGCCAAGUAUCAAACAUGGAGAACGUGGCUCUGGCAGACCAGGCCACGCAGCAGCUUCCAUGUGUGGGUGUUCCAUCCAAGUCCUUCUCAAUUCAGCUGUUCACGAACACGAAGUCGUGGUAAGCUAAUA
rnacentral:lncRNA from 1 species